AAAGACUUUACUUGUAUAAGGAGUAAAAAGAAGGUGCCAUGGUAGCAUAGGAACCCUACAGGACAAACUAGGGUAAAUAGUGAUAGGUGGGGUGAGCGGGGCAAGGUUGAGCUCUUCAGUGAGUUUUUUGCUUCUGUAUUCCUGAACAUGGAACAGGACAGGUCUCCCAGUUGGAUGCUAGACAGGCAUAAAAGGGACACCAGCCCACCAAGUGUUUGUGCCAACUUGGUGAAGAGGCACUUGGAAAGACUGGGUGUGUUUAAGUCAGCAGACCCACGUGAUCUUCAUCCAAGGGUGCCAAAGGAUUUGGCAGCAUUAUAGGAGAGCCCCGACACAGCUGUUUGAGCACUCGUGGCACUCGGGUCAGGUCCCAGAGGGCUGGAAAAGGGCCAGUGCGGUCCCUACCUUUAAGAAAGGAAAGGAGGAUCCGGGUAACUAGACACCAGUUAGUCUCACUUCUGUUCUGAGGAAAACCUUUGAAAAGAUUAAGGAUCACAUUUGUGGGAGUCCUGGAAGGUGGGGGGAUGCUGAAGGGCAGUGAGCACAUAUUCAUAGCAGGUAGAUCCUGCCUGACUAACCUUGUUUCUUUUUAUGACCAGGUCACAAAAUGCUUACACACAGGAAUUGAGGUAGAUGUCAUCUACUUGCAUUUUAAGAAGGCCUUCAAUAUGGUAUCUCAUUCUAAUGUCAUUAAUAAACUGAGCCGCUGUCACGUAGAUGAUUACACGAUCAGGUGGGUGGCAAAAUGGCUCAGCGUCAUACCCAGAGAAUGGCGGUGGAUGGGUCGGUAUCGACCUGGAAAGAUGUGGGCAGUGGAGUCUGACAAGGCUCGGUCCUUCGACCUGUGCUGUUUAAUGUCUUCGUGAGUCACUUGGAUGAGGGCGUGGAAAGCACUCUGUCCAAAUAUGCAGAUGAUACCAAAUUUAUGGGUAACGUUAACAUGCUAAAGCAGAGGUCCUCAAACUGUGGUCUCUGGACCAGCGCUGGUCCACAAGCUCCAUGUAGGUGGUCCUCAGAAAGGUUGCAGAACAAUUGAGAAUCUCUGCGUUUGGCCCUGCAGUUGAUUACUUUUUUUUCCGGUGACGGAGAUUAAGCGGUCCGCUGAGACCCUCGGCAAUUUUCAAGCGGUCCGUGCAAAACAAAGUUUGAGAGCCGGUGCGCUAGAGGGUUGGGACCAAAUCUGUGGGCACCUGGGCAGGUUGGAAAAAUGGGCAGACCAGAAUAGGAUGCAGUUGAACAAAGACAAGUGCAAAGUGCUGCACCUAGGGAGAAGGACUCACCGGCACGCUUACAGGCUGCGGGAGGGCUUUCUCAGCAUCAGAGCAGCGGAAAGGGAUCUCGGAGUCAGCGUUGAUACCGAGAUGAGCGUGAGUUGUCAACGUGACAAAGCGAUUGGUAAAGCUAACUGCACUUUAUCAUGUGUUCGCAGGUGCAGGACAAACAGGUCCAGGGAGGUGAUGCUUACCCUCUACGCGACAUUGGUCGAGCUGCAGUUGGAGUACUCUGUCCGGUUUUGGACGCCACACUUCAAGAGGGAUGUGGACAACCUUGUGAGGGUUCAGAGGAGGGCAAAAGCUAGUCCUUGCGCUCCUGUCCUUGGAACCAGCUUAUCAGCGAGGAAGCGCAGCGUGACAUUCGGAACCAAAAGGCCCGGAGUAGAAGGGCCCCCGACAUCCGUCGCAUCUGCAACGGGUCCCUGCGUGAGCUACUGAGAAACGAGCGUUUGGGGUCCGCACCGGUCUCUCGGAAACAUCCGAGCCAGCCCUGGCAGCAGGUGCCUGUGCGUUCCUGCCUCGUACGCGGUCAGGGAACGCUACGCACCAGCAGUUGCCUCGGCUUCUGACCGGACGCACGCCGUUUGCUUGCAAGCAUCCAAAGCUAGCACCUCCAGCGGCUGCAGCUGUUGCUUCCCAACUACUAGGAGAGCCUUGCAAAAGCAAUGGCCUGCCCCUGGGCCAGGCUGAUACCAGUGGCUCAGACCCAGAGACUUGCUGUUGUACCUCCCGGUGUCUGGAUUAGGUGUCGAGCACUUGGAACUCUGGCAGCUUCAGCACAUAUUAACCUCUCGUCCUCCUGUGGCCAACACCACGGAGCCCGUGACCCUAAUGUUUCUGUCAGCCUCUGUCCCACCCUUCCCCUGAAGGCCUCCCGUGAAAUCCCUUGUCCCAUCACAGUCUGCAGGUUGGCUCCAGCGGUAUUUCCCAGCUGCACGUGGAGAGUUGCAAGGGAGUGUCAGCGAGGAGCUGCAGCGUGAAAGAAGUGGGACUUGGAAAUAUCCAAGGGACCACGGGUAACAGUUUGACGGGCGUCACGUAGACUCGUUUUGCUGAAACUUUGGGAACGGGACCGAACCCAUUUUCCUGUGCGCUUGGACCUGCAGAUGGCUGGGGCCCGUGUCCCUGGGGAAACUCCGAGUCUGGAAGGGAGGAACACUGCUCAUCUCUCUCCCUGCCUGCCUGGGAACGCUCCUUGCCUUGUGUUUGUUAGACUCUGCCAUUUAGACCUAUUUUAACUUGUAACAGGGUCACAAAACCAAAUGCCAGUUGCUGCUCGUAGCUGCCGUUUCCCAUCGUUCCAGAAAGCAGCUACUCGCUCUUGGUCUUGUCUGGUAUUAAAGUCUUGAGAAACAGAAUUUUAUUCCACUUUUUUUGGCCGUUCCUUGGGAUGUAAGUGUAGGCUCACGGCCUAUUCCUUGUAUGCCAGCUUAAGCACGUGUCGUUCUUAAGUUAGGCUUCUGGUAGGUGUGUAGUCUGCAAUACUGAGCGUGGUCUGUCAGGCCCUGACCAUAUUUUCAGUUUACACCGAGGGGAAUCUGCCCAUAGCCUUCCUUCCCCUUUCUCAUCACCAUCUUCGUAACAUCCCUGCCUCUUUACUUGUCGCUCAUUUCAGGAGCUGUUGUGUGCCAGUGCUUCUGUUCCCUGGUGCUUUCCCCGGGUACCCACCCUGUCUCCUGUACGUGGUGGAGGACCGGUUUAAGGAGUUGCACGGAGGGCCUCACAGAAGUCCUGUGUGGUCACGGGUUUACAAUGAAGACUUGCAGCUGUGUGUUACUAUUUCUGGGGUGUGCCGUGUGUGAGGUGCAGCUGUCAGAGGAACGCUUUGGAGAUGUCGCUCACACAGGGAAGCAAAAUUGUUCUGCUCCCCACUACUGAGCUUUAAAGGGUGAUACCUGUGAGACAUCACAUCCCCUGUCCAAACCUGAGCCAUCUGAGCAGGGGAAGUGGCAUGGGAGCGGGGGCCAAGAUACCUGGUUGACAGCCCAGACUGCAAGUUGAAGGCUGCAAUGGAAGCGCUCAGAGUGUGGCCUGUCAGAUUCCAACAAAAUCUGUCAAGUCUUACAUGUAGCUUAUCACAAGGAAACGAAAAAGAAAAGGACAUGAGCAGGGGCCCAUGUUAGAGUCUUAGUGCAUUGGUCAGCGAUUGGGGGUGAGGGGUGCAUGUCCCUCCUUCACUGCUUGUGUGUUGACUGUCAUUGUUAAAGGACCAGGGUUGGGGGCGGGGGCAUUCUUGGCUGCUUGGCCAAGUGCCUGGGGGAAGAGCUAGGAGGGAGGGGGAGGUUCAGCAACCCCGGACUGGCCAGGUCUCCCCCUGCCUCCCACAGGGCUGCGCUACCUGCUACUGGCAGUGACUCUGCCUGGAGCAGUUGGCAGGCCCUUGUAAGCAGCCUGCACUGCUUGGGAGAUGUGGGCUGUGACACCUUGGUUUUCUGGACUGUGGUAAGAAAGCAAACAGCCUUGUAGUACAGGCUUCAGUUGUGGGACUGCACCCUGUUGUUGAGACCCCCCCCAGGGGCUUAUUUCUUGUAUGUCCAUGCAGGAUAGUUGGAGGGGUGGGGAAUGGAAGGAAGAGGCAUGGAUGAGACCUGCAUCUUCUGUUCAGCAAAUUUCUGUAAGUAAUGUUAGUACUACUAAUAUUAUCCCUGUUCUGAUUCUUACUAUUACUAUUAUUUGUUUUCCCAUAUACUUUGCCAACAAAGCACCUGGCAGGUCCAGUAAGAAAAGGAAGUUUCCAAACAGGUGACAGAAGGAAACCAAAUGAUUUAAGUAUGCAAGUGGUGGUGGUGGUGUUGGGAAGGUUCAGGAACCAUGGGGGAGGCAAGAUUUUUUGUUAUGUCUUUUGUGGCAACAACAGCACGGUUUGGACGGACAGAAGCAAGGUUUUAGGCAUCCCAGUCCCCUUUUUCAGUCCUGGUUCCUUCCCAGAAUCCUGAGGAAAGGUACUGUCAUACCCCAAAGGUUGCCUGUAUCUUACAGUUGGUCUGGUAAAACAGGGGUCAAAAAACCUAUGGCCUGUGGUUUGGAUCCAGUCUGUGAAGAAACUGGUUCUAGCCUGUAGCAGUUCAACCAAGGAGCAGCACACUCCCACGGUGACAGCAGCAGGGACAUCCCCAGCGGCCUGUUGCCACUGCGUUCAGUUUGUUCUUUGUGCUGCAGCAGAAGCAGCCUCCCCAGGGUCCCGGCCCCUGCCUCUUUCUUUUGAGUCCCUUCACAGCCUGUGGAGAUUGCCGGGGAGCAAGCUGUCACGUUGGCAACGGUGCACAACGGCAAAAGAACGGCCCUUCCCUGCAAGGAAAGAUUGCAUCUAACUCCGAGCGAGCAGAGCAGAGCAGAGCAUGGACACAGAGCGAGAUGCUCAUCUGUAGGGUAGUCUGGCCUUGCCGUUGCUAGGAGUGCCCAAGUAGGGAGGUGUUGGAAUAAUUUCUCAGCUUUUUCCCUAGAUCGCUCUAAGAGGAGAGGGGAGCGCUAAGCACACUUGGGUUCGUGCACGCUCCCCAUCGUUUUCAGAAGCGGACGGCAGGAGAAAGUUUGCGGUCAGCGAUAGCAGCACAAGGCCGCGCAACCAGGCUGGGGAACGUGGGGCUCUUUCCUAAACCAGGAGUGGCAGGACUUGCACAGCUUUGCCAGGAUCCUGGCUGUUGUGGAGAGACUUUGGGUUGGAGAUGGAUGCAAAGAAGUGGAGGCGUGCCAUGGUGAUGGAGGAUAGAGCAGGAGGAGUAGUGUGAUGGAAGGUGGACUUACCUCAAGCGGGGGUGGUGUUUUGAGUGGGGGUGUCUGGGUGGGCUGGGAAGUCCCUGCUCUGGGUUGGUGUCCUGAGCUGCACGCUCCCAGGGCAGGGCUACUCAAGCGGAGGGCCAUGGCACCCAGGAGUGCCUCUGAGAUGAGUGGUGUACGGCUGGGCUGGCUUGGCCCAGAGUUGCUCUGAGUCUGUGCAAAGAUCUCCAGGUUGCGGUGGGACAGAGGAUUGGGUCUCUGCCUGGCUGUACCUGUUGCCACAUGCCUCCUUUCAGUGCUGGGAAUUGCAUUUAUGUCUCAUCUCUCUGGGUGUGUCACUGGUGUCUGUCUUUGUACUUCUGUUCUUAAAAAUCACUGCAGCACUUGUUACUUUGUUCUUCCCAGGACUGAAAGGAGGGUUGUGUUUGCAUGUAAAUUGAUCCCCUCACUUGGGAGGGGUGUAGCUGCAGCCCCCUGCGGUUUGUUAGUGGGGCCAGUCCAAGCUGCUGUUGUACCCCUGGUUGGGAGGGAGGGGAUGCUGUCCCGUUGGUGGUGUGAGACCUGCGCAUAGCGCUGCAAGUGUUAAUUUCUGUUGUUCAUUUUUGGCGGUGUGGACAUGUUUGGCAAGAUGACCAAAGUCUGGUCCUGAGUGGAGAAGAGCUGAGGAAGAGGUGAAGAGCCCUGGAGCUGGUAUGGCGUGGAAGGAGUUGGAGACGGCCUGAAGCCAUGCUCACGUGAUCACCUGGAGCGAGCAGGUGCCUGCAUCGUAUCUGGGAAAGGGAUAGCAAGCAUGAGGACUGAUGGCGCACAAGGACUGAAGGCGCAGCGUGAUGCCAGGUGUGGAGCCAUCUUCUGAAGGCUUGAGGGCUGUGGAGCAGACUCUGUGAAGAUGAAGUGAAGAGUCCCAGAGAUGGUGCAGGAGGAAACGGGCAGCCCUGUUGUGACUUCCUGAUUUGCGUGGUGUGAGGCCUCUUCCCCUGUGGCAUCACCUGGCUGGAGUCUGGGGAGGUUUUGUGUGUAGCUUUGCAGGCGGUGCGUCUCCGCUCCCACUUCUUGCUGUGAGGAUGCCUGGAUAAGCAGCAGCAUGAUUGUGGCUGGGUGGCCUCAAUGUUGUGGGGGAGAGGAACAGAAGCGAGGCUUCUGCGGUGGUGGUAGAAGAUGGAGGAACUGGAUCCCGAAAGGUGGGCUGGGUUAAAGUGGGAGGCUGGGUUGCGUUUUCCCUGGUCGUGUUUGGGUGGGGAAGGAAACGCCUUGUGCGUAAUGGGGUCUGGAGCUCCGUGCUGUCUGGGAAGUGAUGCUGAAGCAGGGACUUGUGGCCCUUAGGGAUGCUGCAGAGCAGGGGGUGUAAGCCUGAAUUGGGUUUAGUUUGGUGGUGAGACCUGACUCCUUGUAAAGGCUGGAAAUUGUCCUUGAGUAUAUUAGGGGUUUCAGUGUUUGCCCCUGGCUUCUGGGUGCAGGUGACAGCAUUGGAUGUGCUGGGACAGAGGAGCGGGUGCGUGCGUGUCCGCCUCUGCCUGGCUGUUGCUGCUGCCACUGGUCUUCCUUCAGUUCUGGGAAUUGCACUCUGUCCUAUGUCUCUGGGUGUGUCACUGGUGUUUCUUUCUACUUUGAUAUCUAAAAUCACAGCAGCACUUGUUCUUUCUUUCUUUGCUCUUCCCAGAGCUGGAAGGAUAGGUGUGUUUGCAACUGAAUUGAUCCCCUCAUUUGGGUGGGCUUUGACUGCACCCUGUGUGCCUCGCGUGCGAGUGGGGGUGUUAUGCUUUCGGUGUCCUAGGCUGCUGGGGGUGGGGGGCGUUGUCUCUGCUGUCAGUACUAUGAGACGUGAAUACUGUUGCGUGUAGUAAUUGCUUGUUGUUUUGGGUGUGAUGUUAAUAUGUCGAGCGUGAGUGGAGAAGAGCUGAGGCGAAGAGACCUAGAGCCAGCGCUAGGUAGAAGCGGGUGGAGGAAGCAGGUGGUUGUGCAGCCAUGCUCGCUUCUGGGUCACGUGGAGGGAGGCCUCUGCCUGUUUGGUGGACCUGUGUGCAUGAGCAGAGCCUGCAGAGGUCCCUGCUUCCCCUGUGUGGAGAGGAUGGCAAGGAGGGAGGAGAGUGCGCCGGAGGAAGAGGAGCGCGAUGCCAGGUCCCAUGAGUGCUGUCUCUUGGGGUGAGGCCCUUCUCACAGAUGGAUGGGUGCACCCUGGGCAGGCACGUCUUGGAGAGCUGUGAGCUGGGGCCUGGGGUCCUGACCUGUGCAGAGGGAAAUGACUGCCGGUUGAAGGAGUGAAGCUGAGCAGCGCCCACGGAGGGUGAAGCAGGAGGAACUCGAUGCCGCACGGCGUGUCGGUGCCGGAUGGGCAGUUCUGGCAAUUGGUUUCUUUUUUUCUCCAGCCCAGUCCUGGGUGUUGGGCAUUGACUAGGUAGGGUAGACGACUGGAGAUCGAUCUGGAUGUUUCUGACUGGGUCCUGGUCCUUGGAGAGAAGUUUGAGCAGAGAAGGGUGGAAGAUGGAGGCAGAGAGGAUGGUGCAAGCAGGGGGUCUUUUUACCAAGACUUUUGGGGCAGGGAGGAGAAGUGGAGAUUGGGCAGAAGAAGAGAAGACAUCUUGAAGUCAUGAACCAUGGAGCUGCCUGUCAUUGGUGCUUGUGCUGUAGCUCUGUCGUGAGGAGCAGGGCAGGGGCAGUGACAUGCUGAGAGCUGGAGAAGGAGCAGCACAAAGAUGGCUGUGAGGCCUUGGUCAGGCGUGAAGUAUGUGAGCCAGGAGAGUCGUACAGCACACACGCAGGAUGGAGGGCAACAAGUCGAGCGGGGGGCUUUUUUGGCCAGGGCUGCUGUGAAAUCUGGUGUAGGGCUGGGCCAGCCGGUCCGAGUCUGUCGGAGUCCACGUAUAGGAGAAACGACGGAUGUCUAAGGAGCUUGUGGGGCGUUUGAUCCGGGCUCAUCCCUGGCACUUGGGGUGCAGGCCUGGCCCCUCUCUGGGGUGUGUUGAGGGUGAGCUCUGGGUUUGCGUUCAUGCCCCUGACUUGCUGUUGCUACAGGCCUCCCUUCAGUCUUGGGAACAGCGCUAUGUCCUGUGUGCCUGGGGGUGUCACUGGUGUCUCUCUCUUUCUACCUCUUUGCAAAAUGUCUGCAGCACUUGUUCUUUUUCUGCUCUUGUCAGGACUGGAGGGAAGGCUGUGGUGGGUUUUUUCCUGCCACCUAAAAUGGUUUCUACCUCGGGGAGGGGUCUGACUGCACCCUGUGUGCCCUGUUUAGGCUGGGUGGGGGUAUCGCCUUUGAAUUCUCGGGGGUUGCUUUUGCCCUCAGGGCUGUGAGUCCCGUGUGCCGCGUGACUUUUCCUAAUUUAUUUUUGUUUUGGUGACAUGUACGGGAGUCAUCUGGCUGAGGCUCGAGGCUCCUAAGUGGGCAUCGGGAAGAAGAGGUGGAGAUAUAGCGCCUGUGACCUGAGGAAGCUGGUGAAAGAAACGGAUGUCGGCGCAUUCGCUUUGCUGUUGCCCGGUGUGAGACUUCUGCCCAUGUGGUGGCCCUGGGCUGGAAGCCUUGCUGCGUGUGAAGCCUGCGAUAGAUGUUGGAUUGCUGCUCCCUGUGUGUUGAGGAGGAUGGGCUGCAAUGACUGGAGGCCUGGAAAAGGAGCCGUGUGGCCAGGGUCCUGGCCUGCAUGGAGGGAAGUAGGUGAGAGGACUGCAUCGUGGAAGAGCCGUGGGACAGUGUUGGAUGACAGACACGGACCGGCCGGAUGUUGCCCGCUACGUUGGAAUGUCCCUUCUGUAUUGGGAUUCUGCGUGGGGGUGUGGGGUGGGUUUGGGAGUGUCCUCAGCUUUAUGAUCCUGGAGCCAGGGGUUUGCAAGUAGUAUGUUUGGGUCAGUUUGUCUGUGCUGUGGGUGGACCUAGGGUGACCAGAGGUGAAAUCCAUUCCUGUGACCCUGUAGUUGGACGAGCACCCAGACACUUGCAGGAACCGCUGGGCAAGCAGGCCCAGAGCUUUCAACUGUUGAGCACGGCAAUGCUGGAGCCAGCUAGCAUGGAAGCAGAAGGGCUGGCCGGGCGCGGGGCCCGGGCUGCCUCUGUGGCUUCUGUGCUAGUGAGGUUGAGAAUUGCAGUGCUGGGGGGUUGGAGGUUUUGGACCUGCUUGUGCAGGGUUCUUGUUGGUGUUGGGGUGCUGGUUCUGCUGGGUCAGAGCAAUGGGUUUUAUUCUGCCUGACUGCCAUGUUUACCGUGUCCUGCAGGGCUGGGAGCCUGUCGUAGCAGUGUGUGUUUGGCUGGGGCGGGGUGGUUGUCUGGUUUGGUCCCUGAGCAGUGUGGUGAGCAUGUUUGUUAUUACCCUGAAAUAAAAUAGUUUUCUGAUAGCCUACUGUUAGGCUAACAAUAAUUUAGAUUAUUAAGAAGUAUUAGCUUUGCAGUUGAAUACAAGGCAUGACCUGUGGCCUAGCAAUGCCGCUGACCACAAGGCAGAAUGAUAGCUAAGCCUUUGCUUAUGUUAAGUAAUCAUUUUAACUGUGUUGACUAUUUUCUGAGUAAAAUGCAGCAAGUGAAUCUGUCUGUGUGCUGUAAACCAGAUACAGCAAGGAACAAGGUAAGAGGAAGAAGCCAUUGUUCUAAGUACAGUGAUCGUGUCCUUAAGAAGUAUCUAGUACUGUGCAAGUUUUUGCUAAGAUAUCAUAAUGUUACUGUUACUUACGUUAGAAAAUAUUGUUGGAAAAUCAAUGUGACCUUUGUAUGACCUUUGGUCAAUGCUGGCUGAUGCAACCUUGCAGUAAGAUUGCCAUGAUCUGUCAAUAUAGGCGGGCAGACAAGGUGAUUGGGCCCAACCGUGCGGGGUGAGCAAAGCCAAGCCAUCUUGGUGAUUUUCUCUGAGUUUUGUGCAUGCGUUAUGAAGGAGCUUAUGGAACCAGAGUUUAUAAAUCUAUGUGUUGAGUUGCAGUCGGGGGGUCUCUCUGCCCUUACGAGGACAGGGGACCUUUGGUCGAAUAAACUGAAAAGACCACACCCUCAUCUCUUGCUUAUUGGAGUCUCAGCUGGGAAACGAGCUCUGUUCGGGUUAAGAGAGUCUGCAGGUGUUCCCUUACCAGAUUGGGAGCCUGGUCAGACAAUUUCUCUCACAAUUUGGCGAGCCAGCCAGGAGCACCCAGCUCGUCGCGUUGCCGCUGCCGCCUAAACCCAACCUCCGGCCGGCCGUAACAGAGGUGAGUUCACCACGGGAGUCUUGGGUUAAGGCUGCAGACACGGCGGGACGAUAAGGUGACUCCUUCAAUUUUACUGGCAUGGUGUGGUCUUUUAUAUGUUGUGUAUGUCUUGUCUAACGUGUUAUAGGCCAGUCUGUUCUCCGGAUUCUCAAACCUGGGCACACAGGCAAUUUUAGUUAAUUGCCCGUUCGACUCUUUUGAGCCGAUAAAUCUGUGUGGCGCGUUUUAUGUCUCCAUUCGCGCACUGAGGAACCGUCUCUGUUUCUGACCUUUUAACUGGAUAAGUCCUCCAACCUGUUUGAGGCAUCUUAGAGGCCUGCCUUUCCAGGUUGGUUAGGUCUAGGGCAGCCAAGAAAGCAGGGUUUUUGGGGAGCUUAAUAGUAUAUCAGGUUAUCUGGGAAAGGGAUGUCCGCCAAGAAUGACGAUGGGACAGAAACAGUCAAUUCUGGCUAGUAGUCCUCUUGGAGAAUUGUUAAGCAACUGGAAUAAGUUAUCUGGACAUGGCCAAUUGAGUAAGAAGCGCGCUAUAGCCUUAUGUACUAGUGUCUGGCCCGGCUACACUUAUAAAAACCCUGAACUUCAGUGGCCAGUGUUGGGAUCCCUCAGUGUAGAUAAAUGAAGGUACCUCAGGGGGUUCCUAGAGGAACCCCAUCCCCGACUAAUGGAUUAUUGGUAUCUCUGGUGUGAUUUGAUGGAUUUAAUUCUGCAGAGGAAAAAAAAAAACUGAUUACUUCUGGCCGCUCAACAACGUCUGUGGUGUCUUCUCCCCCUUAUUCUCCCACUAUGCCACCAUUGGUGACUAGGGGACCAGCCAUAAUAAACCCGGCCGCUUAGGCCGUGGCCCUUCCGGCACCUUUUACCCCUCCAUCAGGCUCCUCUCCUCCCGUAACAGGAGUGUCAGGGUCUGUACCUGCCUCCUCGGAGCCUACUUUCAGUCCCAUAGCAGGACAUACUAGGUAGCGUUUGAAUCAGGUCAUACACCUGCUGUUGUACACAUGUAAUGACAUCUGCACACCCCCAUCACACAUGCAGUCACGCCUGUUCAGAGUCCCUUACAGACACGCGCCUGCACAGAACCCCAAAACACACUGCGACAUACACAUGUGCCCCAACAGGUGUCCGUGACACACUUGCACACAAAUGUGCAUCCUCGCACACAUGCAUGUGCACAGUCUCACACACGCACCCAGAGCCCAGGUGCUUGUGACACGUGCAUGCUCACACACAUGGAACUCAGGUGUCUGACACACAUGCAUAUGUGCUCUCGCGGACACAGUCUAGCACACAUGUACAGAACCCAAGUGUCUGUGGCACACAGGCAAGUACCCUGACAUAUUCACAUUCACACACACACAAGCCCACAUGGGUAGAUAUGAAUCAACCUGCCCCCAAUGAUGUGUGCAAUUAUUGUAAACAAUUGGGGCAUUGGAGACGAGAACGCCCAAACUGCCCUAAGGGACUUCCCCCUUAUGGAGGAAGAAAGGGGGGAACCCAGGGAAACAACCGGGCUGCCAGCACCGAUCCUACAGAUCCCUGGGUCCAGAGUUUGCAAGAAGAUAUAGAUGACUCCCAGUGAAAUAAGGGGGCGGCUCUUCCACACGAUGUAUUUAGGGGAAUCUUCCUCUUUUGAGUAUACCUGCGCCCCUUCAUCCCCUUAUGUACCACUUCAAAUAGCAGGAAAAUUUAUAAAUGUCUUAUAGAUAGAGGAGCAGAUCUGUCCUCACUGGGAGAAUCUCCAGAAAGGGCGGGAAUUGCAGUCUCAGGAUCUGAAAAGAUUAUGAGAGUAAUUGGAAAAUCUAUGCAAGUGCCCCGUGGCACUGAAACACAAGUGCAGAUAGGACCCUUGACCACUAUUCAUGCUUUCCUAUUAGCUGAAGGAACUGUAGUGCACCUCCUUGGAAGAAAUCUACUCUAUAAACUACAGACCAGAAACCCUUCACCCUACUUACUCAUGAGAAUCAAGGCGUUGCUUCAGGUGUCUUAACUCAGCCAUGGGGAGUUUCUAAUCGUCCCAUAGCAUACUAUUCUGCUCAGUUAGAUCCUGUAGCAAGGGCAGCAAUUCUCUGUCUUAGAGCAGUCGCUGCUGCCGCUGUGCUAGUUCAAAAGGCUCAAGAUUUAGUGUUAGGACACUCUCUUGUGGUUGAAAUAUCUCAUUCAGUGGAAGCUCUCCUACUACAGCACAACCUCUGCCAGCAGGGACCAACGCCCAGGCCGCUGAGCUAGCGGCACUCUGACGAGCAUGCAAAUUGGCCACAGCCUCCAGGGUCACUAUCUAUACUGACUCUAAAUAUGCUUUUAGUAUCUGUCAUGCGCUAGGACAGUCCUGGUGACAAAGAGGUUUUAUCACGUCCUCUGAUGCUGUAAUCAGCAAUGCCACGGAAGUCCAAGAACUGCUAGAGGCUGUCGUGUUACCAGGUGAUAUAGCGGUAAUGCACGGUCCCAGACAUUCCAGAGAAGAUACUGACAUCGCUAAAGGAAAGCAUCUCGCAGAUGCUGUAGCUAGAGCCGCUGCACUACAAACUAAAGGAAGUCUCCUUGCAUCUCAAGUUGUUCUUCCACCCUUGUCUGUUAUUUAUGACAAAGUCCCAGCGGAUGAAGUAUCUAUAUGGGUCCAAAAGUGGGAAGCUGCGCAAGGAAAGGAUGGAGUGUGACGUGUGCCAGACGGUAGACCAAUUGCUCCUCGCACCUUGCUCCGAAGUCUGGCUCAGGAUGCCCACAGAUGCUGUCAGUCGGGAAAAGGAGAAAUAGCAGAACAGGUCCUCUCCACCUGGUUUGCUCCAGGUAUACAUCUAGAAGCUGCCCGAAUAACUCUGCAAUGUUCAGAGUGCAGAGCCUUCAACAAAUACAGAGGACACACAAAAUUACAAGGGGCCCGACCGUGGGCCUAUUUACCCUUUGAAAAACGACAUGGAUUUGCUCAAAGCUGUAAAUUUCAAGCACUGCCUAGUAGUGGUAGAUCAAGUAACAGGAUGGCCAGAAGCUUUCCCCACUCGAGAAGCGGAUUCAGUAGCAGUAGCCAAACCCGUAUUAAAAGAAAUCAUCCCACAUUUCGGCAUUCCAGGAGGAAUAAACUCUGACUGGGGAACUCACUUUACAGAAACUGUUUUAAAAGAAGUUUACAGAGUUUUUGGAAUAAUAACAUACUUGCACGCCCCCUAUCGCCCUCUGUCCUUGGGUCAGGUAGAGAGUAUGAAUCAGAGUAUAAAAUCCCUUUUAGGAAAGAUCUGCUCCUAAACCAAAUUGAAAUGGUCAGAUGCUUUACCAAGGGUGCUGUUCGCUAUAAGAACAAAACCCAAAUGGCCUCUCAACCUUGUCCCCCUACGAGUUGUUGUUUGGUCACGCUCCUGUUAUAUAAGAGAUGGGAAAAUCUGCAUGUUAGCUUACUCGGCGGAGAUGAAGCUUUAAUUAGUUAUGUUUUAUCCUUACAGGAGUCUCUCUAGUGUUUACACAGGUCAGCUGCUUUGGUUCAGCCGGUACCCCUGGACUGUAACCUUCACUCCUAUCAAUCGGGACGCUGAGUUUGGGUAAAACAGCAUCGGCGAAAAACCGCCUCGGCCCAAGUCUGGGCAGGUCCGUACCAAGUUCUUCUUACUAUACACGCUGCUGUGAAAAUCGCCCAGAAAGAGGGCCGGAUUCAUCGCGGUCGCCUCAAACCUGGUAUCGGCAAGUAAUGACCGGUCAGCUGCUGUUCCGCCUUUGUGGCUAGAAAGAAUCGGAGAAUCGUGGACCGUUCAGACUCCUUAAUAGAAAUGAUACGUGUAUUAAGCUUGCUUUGUAUUAUCUUUCUUGUUAUACUUUGUGUUUGUAUUUCACUGUGGAUGCAGGGAAGGUUAUAAGUUAAUAAUGGCAUUUCACCGGGCUAUCCUAACAGGAUUAUUGCUCUUGAUGCAUAAAACACCAUGGCUAUUUAUGGGAAAGCGAUACAGAACAGGAAGACCAGUGGAAAGAUAAUACUUACCUGAUUUCCACUAUAGCUAUAGCACAGGCCCUAAAAUUUGUCUAAUGGUUGGAUAUGUGGUACACAGCCUCCUUCUACUAACUUUCCACCCUAUCCUUUAAUCUCUUGGGAAGGGUUUUUUUCUAAUCCAGAGUGGGUUGAUACGGAUAGAGCUGGAAUAAGUACCUGGCAGGACAAUCCUUAUUUUAAAGAGAGAGUACUUUCAGACAUCAUGUUAUCUGCCCAGGUGUGUUGGGAAAAAAGUUAGUGUUAUCUUACACAUUGCAAUCUGUUAUCCUGUACUCCGCUGUACCAUCUUCUUCCCUCUGGCCCCCCCCCCCCCCCCCGCCUUAUCUUAUCUGACUUCUAGCUGCAGCUGGUACCCAGUACACAGACUUAAUUUCUGCUUUUUUCUAACAAAAUGGUUAGGGCACUUGACAUAAGAAAAUAGUUGGCUUAGAGAUCAUUCUGUCUUGUGGUCAGGAAAACUGCUAGGCCACAGGUCAUGCCUAGUGUUUAGCUACGAAGCUAAUACUAUGUAAUAAUCUAAAUUACCCUGAAAUUAAAUAGUUUUCUAUAGUAUACUGUUCACAAGAAAGACAAACUUGCCCAUCACUCUGACUGUGAGGUGGAAGAGGUGCCAGGAGGAUGUGUGGGGUCUGAGUUGUGCCUUGGUGUGUGCUUAGUUGGGUGAGAGGGGUGCGAAGCUGCCUGGGUGUGGUGGGAUCGUGCUCUGCUCCCUUGCUUGUUUGCUUUGUUUGGUGAUGUUUGUGUGUGUCCUUGUGUUGUUUGUUGUGAGGCUGGCAAUGUUUUCUUCCUGGUGGUUUGUUUUGUACAUGGCUGUUUGCUCACCUCCUGUCUACUGAGCUUUUUGUAUGUAACAUGUAGAGGAACUUGUGGGCCAGCCUGGAAAAAUAAAAUAAAGGAGAAAUGGUUUUGGCA